GAUGAACGCUGGCGGCGUGCCUAAUACAUGCAAGUCGAGCGAACAGAUGAGGAGCUUGCUCCUCUGACGUUAGCGGCGGACGGGUGAGUAACACGUGGAUAACCUACCUAUAAGACUGGGAUAACUUCGGGAAACCGGAGCUAAUACCGGAUCAUAUAUUGAACCGCAUGGAUCAAUAGUGAAAGCCGGUUUUGCUGUCACUUAUAGAUGGAUCCGCGCCGCAUUAGCUAGUUGGUAAGGUAACGGCUUACCAAGGCAACGAUGCGUAGCCGACCUGAGAGGGUGAUCAGCCACACUGGAACUGAGACACGGUCCAGACUCCUACGGGAGGCAGCAGUAGGGAAUCUUCCGCAAUGGGCGAAAGCCUGACGGAGCAACGCCGCGUGAGUGAUGAAGGUCUUCGGAUCGUAAAACUCUGUUAUUAGGGAAGAACAAAUGUGUAAGUAACUAUGCACGUCUUGACGGUACCUAAUCAGAAAGCCACGGCUAACUACGUG
rnacentral:rRNA from 1 species